UGUACCUUUGAAUAUAUAUUU
rnacentral:piRNA from 1 species